GUGGGGAAUUUUGGACAAUGGGGGCAACCCUGAUCCAGCAAUGCCGCGUGCAGGAAGAAGGCCUUCGGGUUGUAAACUGCUUUUGUACGGAACGAAAAGGCUCUGGUUAAUACCUGGGGCACAUGACGGUACCGUAAGAAUAAGCACCGGCUAACUACGUGCCAGCAGCCGCGGUAAUACGUAGGGUGCAAGCGUUAAUCGGAAUUACUGGGCGUAAAGCGUGCGCAGGCGGUGCUGUAAGACAGGCGUGAAAUCCCCGGGCUUAACCUGGGAAUGGCGCUUGUGACUGCAGUGCUGGAGUGUGGCAGAGGGGGAUGGAAUUCCGCGUGUAGCAGUGAAAUGCGUAGAUAUGCGGAGGAACACCGAUGGCGAAGGCAAUCCCCUGGGCCUGCACUGACGCUCAUGCACGAAAGCGUGGGGAGCAAACAGGAUUAGAUACCCUGGUAGUCC
rnacentral:rRNA from 1 species